rnacentral:rRNA from 1 species
ACGAACGCUGGCGGCAUGCCUAACACAUGCAAGUCGAACGAGACCUUCGGGUCUAGUGGCGCCCGGGUGCGUAACGCGUGGGAAUCUGCCCUUGGGUUCGGAAUAACAGUUGGAAACGACUGCUAAUACCGGAUGAUGACGUAAGUCCAAAGAUUUAUCGCCCAAGGAUGAGCCCGCGUAGGAUUAGCUAGUUGGUGAGGUAAAGGCUCACCAAGGCGACGAUCCUUAGCUGGUCUGAGAGGAUGAUCAGCCACACUGGGACUGAGACACGGCCCAGACUCCUACGGGAGGCAGCAGUGGGGAAUAUUGGACAAUGGGCGAAAGCCUGAUCCAGCAAUGCCGCGUGAGUGAUGAAGGCCUUAGGGUUGUAAAGCUCUUUUACCCGGGAUGAUAAUGACAGUACCGGGAGAAUAAGCUCCGGCUAACUCCGUG